UGCCAGCAGCCGCGGUAAUACGAAGGUCCCAAGCGUUGUUCGGAAUAACUGGGCGUAAAGCGUGUGUAGGCUGCGCGGAAAGUCGGAUGUGAAAGCCCAAGGCUCAACCUUGGAACUGCAUCCGAUACUCCCGUGCUAGAGUAAUGGAGAGGUAAGUGGAAUUCUCGGUGUAGCAGUGAAAUGCGUAGAUAUCGAGAGGAACAUCAAUGGCGAAGGCAACUUACUGGACAUUUACUGACGCUCAGACACGAAGGCUAGGGGAGCGAAAGGGAUUAGAUA
rnacentral:rRNA from 1 species